AUGAAUUUUGUAAUUCACAGAAUGACAUAGUUGAGAGGGAUGUGCUUGAUGUGAUGAGACCUUUCAUAUUUUUGGAAUGACUCACCAUCAGUGGGUAUGGCAGUACAAAAUUUCCAAACUGGGUUGGAGAUGUAUCGUUCUCCAAAAUGGUGUUCAUGCGAUUAAAAGGUAGCAAAUGUUGCACAUCUUUGCCACCACUUGGACAACUACCCUUGCUUAAAGACCUUUACAUUGAAGGAAUGAGUGCAAUAAAGAGCUUGGGUUGUGAGUUCUCUGGGCAGCAGUGUGGUGCCAAACCUUUCCCCUCUCUAGAGAGACUGAGCUUUGAGUUGAUGCCAGAAUGGGAGGAUUGGUCUGCUUUUGAAACAGAGGGAGUUCAGCCAUUUGGUCAUCUCAGUAAGCUUUCCAUCAUAAAUUGUCCCAAACUUGUUGGAAGAUUACCAAAUGAUCUUCCUUGUCUCAAUUCUCUCAAAAUUGAUGGUUGUCCGCAGUUGUUGAUUGAUGUUUUGAGCCUCAUUCAGCCAUCACUUGCAUCCUUGUCAAUGAAUAAUGUUAUGCUCCUAAGCCUUCCAGCACUCUUAGGGACGACGAACACGAUUGAACUUGGUUCCCUCACCUUGAAUAUUAGCCAUGUUACAGUUCUUGACUCCCUCGGCGAUCCAAGCACAACUGAUGAAGAGUUACUGGCUAAUGAAAUGUCUAAGCAUCUGACUUCAAUAACUGCUUUGAGCAUUUCUCAUGUUGAAAAACUGGCAUUCCUACCGACAUGGUUUACUCGAGAUUUGAUGGGACUUGAGAAAUUGAACAUUAGUAACUGCCAAGAACUCGUAACAUUGUGGCGGAAUAAGGCGAGAAUGCAAGUAUGUCUCCCUUCCCUCUGCCAUUUGGAGAUUUCUGAUUGCCCCAAACUGGUUUGCUUGUUUGAAGAAGAGCAAGAAAAAGAAGGAGAAGGUUUGAAAAAGCAGCAACAUGAGGGGCUGCCUUGCAUGACGAGACUCAAGUAUUUAACAAUUGAAGAGUGUGCAAUGCUGAAGAAACUGCCACAAGAUCUGCACACAUACACAUCUCUUGGGGUGCUUACAAUCCGCAAUUGUGCAAGUUUGAUCUCUUUUCCAAUGAAAGGUUUGCCAUCUAUGCUGAGGGAACUUAGCGUUUCAAUGUGUAAUGCUUUGAAGUCCCUACCCGAGUUGAUGACACUCAAUAAUCUGUUAGAGUUGCAGGUUUCUAGCUGUGAAUCACUCACAUAUUUAUUGUCAAGAGGUGGGCUACCAUCCACACUAAAAAAACUUUGGAUUCGUUCGUGUGCAAAGCUGGAGUCACUUUUUGCAGAGGAAGGGAUCAAAAUUGAUUGUCCAUCUCUUGAAACUAUUGAUAUCGGAUUUUGUGGGAGACUCAAAUCUUUACCUGAAGCCAAUAAUCUCAGUGAAUUGUGGAUAAGAGGUUGUCCUAAUCUGGAGCCCCGGUCACUUGGUGGUCAUGAUGAGAACAACAACAUCAACCAACUCACUUCGCUUCAAAAGCUAUGUUUAUAUAGAUGCAGAGCAGGAAUAGUCUCCUACUUUGUCAAGGAAGGGAGUUUCCCCACCAACAUCACUUCACUUCGUAUCGAGGAUUUGAGAGGGGACGACGUCGGUCAACUUCCACUUCCGCCUCCAUCCCCAUUAGAGUGGGGUUUGCACAAACUCUCUUCUCUUACAACACUCGAACUUGAAGGCCCAGAUUGGCCGUGGGGAGAUACGGUGUCCUUUCCAGAAGAAGGGAUGUUCCUGCCCACCUCUCUCAUCAAUUUGACCAUCGAAAGCUUCCCAAAUCUGGAAAGACUCUCUUUUGAGGAGUUUCAAAGCCUCACCUCUCUCCAAAGACUUGAUAUCUGGAAUUUCCCUAGGCUCGCGUCCUUUCCAAAGGAAGGGUUGCCUCCCUCUCUUUUGCAUCUAUCGGUCCAUAACUGCCCUGAGCUUGCGACCUUUCCAGAACAAGGCUUCCCUCCCUCGCUUUUGUCACUGGUGAUCCGUAGAUGUAAUCUAAUACUGAAACAGAAGUGUGUAAAGGGGAAAGAAUAUUGGCCCAUCAUCCAAUACAUUCCUGAAGUAGAUAUACAAUAAGCAGCCACCUGCAAGUGAUGAAGUUAAUAUUCCAGAUCUGAGAUUGUAGAUAUGAAGGGGUAUGAGUUUUGGAGUGGCCCCUUGAAUGAGUUUUGACUCAAUGAGAUACCAUCGGUUACUAUGUGGAGUCGCCUCUAAACAAGAUACAUCUCCACUACUUAGUGGUAGACAUUGAUCACAUCGACGACUACGAUUGAGGUGGCGCUGCUCUAGUCACCCUCUAUAGAUAUGCUAGUGUUGUCAUGCGCAGCUGAGAGAUGACCAUCGAAGGGCAUUAGAAAUGAUGGAAGGUACAAUUUACUGUUUUAUGUCAUUUCUACAUUGCACAUGUCAUUUAUGCAUUUAUUCUGAAAUUUUUGCCUCAUCUUGUACUAAUCAACUCUUUGAAUUGUAGAUCUAGAGCUUUGAGUAUUUUACGGCAAAUGUCCCUGACGCUCAAGAGAUGGACUAGCACGUUGUCUCUUGGUCCCGACUAUACUUCUAUUAGCAUCACCGCCAGGCCCCACGGUUGUCGACCUUUUACAAGUUUAGAUAGUAUUUCGACAUAGUGACCCCUAAUCAGGAAAUUGGCUUAAUCCCUCUUCAAUCAUGUACUAUGUUGCUUUC